rnacentral:sRNA from 1 species
CCACACUGGAAUUGGAUCCUUUGGGGCUCCUCCUCUGACUAGCUAGCUAUCGAUGACUUCAUCGGAUCCCAGCAAUGCUGGCCUCAAACGCAAUAUGGAACAGACUCGUCUGCUUGGGCAUUCGUAAGCACUGUCCUAGUUAUCAAUCGUUUAUAUCAUACUUAAUGCGCGGUUUCCAAGCUGAUGUGGCUGGAUGAAGGCGCAUGAUGGUGCCCGAAAGUUGUCUUUUUUUACUCUGUGAGUUUGUGGAGCCGAUGGGCUGUGAAAAUUACGCAGAGGGAAGGGGGCAUUUCGAGAAUCACGCGAGUUCAAUUUUUAUAUAUACAUGUAUAUGUAUGCCAAGGUCGUUCUAAAACGAAAACGAAAAUAAUAUGGGCGGAAAGCGUAGGCAGCAAGUGAAAGGGACGAAAGAUAAAAAGAAAAAAGAAAUAGGAGUGCAGUGAGAACUUGGUAGUGAAGCCAAAGGAAGAUGAAGGGAAGAUGAGAGGAAGGAAAUAAACAGUCUGGGAAAGAGGCUGGAGGAGGAAAAAUUAAAGGGUGAGGGAGGCUGUACAAAAUGCCAGUAACAAAUGUCUGAACUAAACUUCUGAAUGAUGCAGCCUGACACCUUAGAAAUGCAACACAAGAACUAAGGAAGAGGAGGGAAAGGGACUGAGAAGGGGAUGAGAACAACAAACGGGCAAAGUAAAGGGG